CGAGCAGGUCAGGCGACCGCGGGCGGCGUGUGUCGCUCGAGGAAAGUCCGGGCUCCACAGGGCAGGACGCUGGGUAACGCCCAGGCGGGGUGACCCGCAGAAAGUGCCACAGAGACCAGACCGCCGGCUCCCGAGAGCCGGUAAGGGUGAAACGGUGGGGUAAGAGCCCACCGGAGGCCCAGGCGACUGGGCCUGCCGGGCAAACCUCGUCCGGAGCAAGGCCAAACAGGGGCAGGGUGGCCCGCCCGCAGGGCGAGUCUCUCGCCCGAAGCCCCAGGUAGGCCGCUUGAGCCGGCGGGAAACCGUCGGCCCAGAGAGAUGGUCGCCCAAGGCCGGCUGUCUGCGCCGCAGCCGACCCCAGACAGAACCCGGCUUACCGGCCUGCUCGCCGC
rnacentral:RNase_P_RNA from 1 species